GCGAUUUCCGAAUGGGGAAACCCAGUGUGAUUCGUCACACUAUCAUUAACUGAAUCCAUAGGUUAAUGAGGCGAACCGGGGGAACUGAAACAUCUAAGUACCCCGAGGAAAAGAAAUCAACCGAGAUUCCCCCAGUAGCGGCGAGCGAACGGGGAGGAGCCCAGAGCCUGAAUCAGUGUGUGUGUUAGUGGAAGCGUCUGGAAAGGCGCGCGAUACAGGGUGACAGCCCCGUACACAAAAAUGCACAUGCUGUGAGCUCGAUGAGUAGGGCGGGACACGUGGUAUCCUGUCUGAAUAUGGGGGGACCAUCCUCCAAGGCUAAAUACUCCUGACUGACCGAUAGUGAACCAGUACCGUGAGGGAAAGGCGAAAAGAACCCCGGCGAGGGGAGUGAAAAAGAACCUGAAACCGUGUACGUACAAGCAGUGGGAGCACGCUUCGGCGUGUGACUGCGUACCUUUUGUAUAAUGGGUCAGCGACUUAUAUUCUGUAGCAAGGUUAACCGAAUAGGGGAGCCGAAGGGAAACCGAGUCUUAACUGGGCGUUAAGUUGCAGGGUAUAGACCCGAAACCCGGUGAUCUAGCCAUGGGCAGGUUGAAGGUUGGGUAACACUAACUGGAGGACCGAACCGACUAAUGUUGAAAAAUUAGCGGAUGACUUGUGGCUGGGGGUGAAAGGCCAAUCAAACCGGGAGAUAGCUGGUUCUCCCCGAAAGCUAUUUAGGUAGCGCCUCGUGAAUUCAUCUCCGGGGGUAGAGCACUGUUUCGGCAAGGGGGUCAUCCCGACUUACCAACCCGAUGCAAACUGCGAAUACCGGAGAAUGUUAUCACGGGAGACACACGGCGGGUGCUAACGUCCGUCGUGAAGAGGGAAACAACCCAGACCGCCAGCUAAGGUCCCAAAGUCAUGGUUAAGUGGGAAACGAUGUGGGAAGGCCCAGACAGCCAGGAUGUUGGCUUAGAAGCAGCCAUCAUUUAAAGAAAGCGUAAUAGCUCACUGGUCGAGUCGGCCUGCGCGGAAGAUGUAACGGGGCUAAACCAUGCACCGAAGCUGCGGCAGCGACGCUUAUGCGUUGUUGGGUAGGGGAGCGUUCUGUAAGCCUGUGAAGGUGGCCUGUGAGGGUUGCUGGAGGUAUCAGAAGUGCGAAUGCUGACAUAAGUAACGAUAAAGCGGGUGAAAAGCCCGCUCGCCGGAAGACCAAGGGUUCCUGUCCAACGUUAAUCGGGGCAGGGUGAGUCGACCCCUAAGGCGAGGCCGAAAGGCGUAGUCGAUGGGAAACAGGUUAAUAUUCCUGUACUUGGUGUUACUGCGAAGGGGGGACGGAGAAGGCUAUGUUGGCCGGGCGACGGUUGUCCCGGUUUAAGCGUGUAGGCUGGUUUUCCAGGCAAAUCCGGAAAAUCAAGGCUGAGGCGUGAUGACGAGGCACUACGGUGCUGAAGCAACAAAUGCCCUGCUUCCAGGAAAAGCCUCUAAGCAUCAGGUAACAUCAAAUCGUACCCCAAACCGACACAGGUGGUCAGGUAGAGAAUACCAAGGCGCUUGAGAGAACUCGGGUGAAGGAACUAGGCAAAAUGGUGCCGUAACUUCGGGAGAAGGCACGCUGAUAUGUAGGUGAAGUCCCUCGCGGAUGGAGCUGAAAUCAGUCGAAGAUACCAGCUGGCUGCAACUGUUUAUUAAAAACACAGCACUGUGCAAACACGAAAGUGGACGUAUACGGUGUGACGCCUGCCCGGUGCCGGAAGGUUAAUUGAUGGGGUUAGCGCAAGCGAAGCUCUUGAUCGAAGCCCCGGUAAACGGCGGCCGUAACUAUAACGGUCCUAAGGUAGCGAAAUUCCUUGUCGGGUAAGUUCCGACCUGCACGAAUGGCGUAAUGAUGGCCAGGCUGUCUCCACCCGAGACUCAGUGAAAUUGAACUCGCUGUGAAGAUGCAGUGUACCCGCGGCAAGACGGAAAGACCCCGUGAACCUUUACUAUAGCUUGACACUGAACAUUGAGCCUUGAUGUGUAGGAUAGGUGGGAGGCUUUGAAGUGUGGACGCCAGUCUGCAUGGAGCCGACCUUGAAAUACCACCCUUUAAUGUUUGAUGUUCUAACGUUGGCCCCUGAUCGGGGUUGCGGACAGUGUCUGGUGGGUAGUUUGACUGGGGCGGUCUCCUCCUAAAGAGUAACGGAGGAGCACGAAGGUUGGCUAAUCCUGGUCGGACAUCAGGAGGUUAGUGCAAUGGCAUAAGCCAGCUUGACUGCGAGCGUGACGGCGCGAGCAGGUGCGAAAGCAGGUCAUAGUGAUCCGGUGGUUCUGAAUGGAAGGGCCAUCGCUCAACGGAUAAAAGGUACUCCGGGGAUAACAGGCUGAUACCGCCCAAGAGUUCAUAUCGACGGCGGUGUUUGGCACCUCGAUGUCGGCUCAUCACAUCCUGGGGCUGAAGUAGGUCCCAAGGGUAUGGCUGUUCGCCAUUUAAAGUGGUACGCGAGCUGGGUUUAGAACGUCGUGAGACAGUUCGGUCCCUAUCUGCCGUGGGCGCUGGAGAACUGAGGGGGGCUGCUCCUAGUACGAGAGGACCGGAGUGGACGCAUCACUGGUGUUCGGGUUGUCAUGCCAAUGGCACUGCCCGGUAGCUAAAUGCGGAAGAGAUAAGUGCUGAAAGCAUCUAAGCACGAAACUUGCCCCGAGAUGAGUUCUCCCUGACUCCCUGAGAGUCCUGAAGGAACGUUGAAGACGACGACGUUGAUAGGCCGGGUGUGUAAGCGCAGCGAUGCGUUGAGCUAACCGGUACUAAUGAACCGUGAGGCUUAACCUUACAAC
rnacentral:rRNA from 1 species